rnacentral:rRNA from 1 species
UACGGAGGAUGCGAGCGUUAUCCGGAUUUAUUGGGUUUAAAGGGUGCGCAGGCGGAAGAUCAAGUCAGCGGUAAAAUUGAGAGGCUCAACCCCAUCCAGCCGUUGAAACUGGGGAUCUAGAGUGUGCGAGAGGUAUGCGGAAUGCGUGGUGUAGCGGUGAAAUGCAUAGAUAUCACGCAGAACCCCGAUUGCGAAGGCAGCAUACCGGCGCCCAACUGACGCUGAAGCACGAAAGCGUGGGUAUCAAACAGG